GCAAUCUGUCCUGUUCUACUGUGGGUGGAGAAUAGCACCGUGCUGGGUGGCUGUGUGACACAUGGAGCCACAUGGCUAGGUCUUGCACAACAGAAGAGGAAGCAGGGAAAUACAGCUUAAAUGAGUGUCAGCGGCUGGCAGGAUGGCUCGGUGAAGAAGGACAGUUGCUGGCAAGAUUGAAGUGUUCAGUACCUGGAUCCCACUUGGUAGAAACUGAAAUCCAGCUCUAGCAAGUUGUCAUCUGACCUCCACAUGCCAGUAUCACCAGCCUCUGCCUUGCCUCCAUCUGCCACCGUGGACCCCAUCUCUCAGGACCCGUGAGCUAAAACAAACCCUUGCUUCCUGAGGUGGCUUUUGGUCAGGGUGUUUUAUCAUAGCUACAGAGAAGCAACUAAUACACUCUGCUGGCUUAUAGGUUGACUUUUGAAAAAAACAACAGAAAAAGAGAGAUGAGAAAGUGAUCAACUGUGACCGUAGAUUGGAUGUACAGUUUAAUCUGUAAAAGAGCAGAUGCUAUGGAUGGAAGGAGUAUGUCUC
rnacentral:lncRNA from 1 species